CACAUGCAAGUCGAGGGGCAGCAUCAUCAAAGCUUGCUUUGAUGGAUGGCGACCGGCGCACGGGUGAGUAACACGUAUCCAACCUGCCGACAACACUGGGAUAGCCUUUCGAAAGAAAGAUUAAUACCGGAUGGCAUAGUUUUCCCGCAUGGGAUGAUUAUUAAAGAAUUUCGGUUGUCGAUGGGGAUGCGUUCCAUUAGGCAGUUGGCGGGGUAACGGCCCACCAAACCAACGAUGGAUAGGGGUUCUGAGAGGAAGGUCCCCCACAUUGGAACUGAGACACGGCCCAAACUCCUACGGGAGGCAGCAGUGAGGAAUAUUGGUCAAUGGACGAGAGUCUGAACCAGCCAAGUAGCGUGAAGGAUGACUGCCCUAUGGGUUGUAAACUUCUUUUAUACGGGAAUAAAGUUAGCCACGUGUGGCUUUUUGUAUGUACCGUAUGAAUAAGGAUCGGCUAACUCCGUGCCAGCAGCCGCGGUAAUACGGAGGAUCCGAGCGUUAUCCGGAUUUAUUGGGUUUAAAGGGAGCGUAGGCGGGUUGUUAAGUCAGUUGUGAAAGUUUGCGGCUCAACCGUAAAAUUGCAGUUGAUACUGGCGACCUUGAGUGCAACAGAGGUAGGCGGAAUUCGUGGUGUAGCGGUGAAAUGCUUAGAUAUCACGAAGAACUCCGAUUGCGAAGGCAGCUUACUGGAUUGUAACUGACGCUGAUGCUCGAAAGUGUGGGUAUCAAACAGGAUUAGAUACCCUGGUAGUCCACACAGUAAACGAUGAAUACUCGCUGUUGGCGAUAUACAGUCAGCGGCCAAGCGAAAGCAUUAAGUAUUCCACCUGGGGAGUACGCCGGCAACGGUGAAACUCAAAGGAAUUGACGGGGGCCCGCACAAGCGGAGGAACAUGUGGUUUAAUUCGAUGAUACGCGAGGGACCUUACCCGGGCUUAAAUUGCAACUGACUGAACCGGAAA
rnacentral:rRNA from 1 species